AAUAGAUACCCGGGUAGUCCACGCCGUAAACGAUGAGUGCUAAGUGUUAGAGGGUUUCCGCCCUUUAGUGCUGCAGCAAACGCAUUAAGCACUCCGCCUGGGGAGUACGGUCGCAAGACUGAAACUCAAAGGGAAUUGACGGGGGCCCGCACAAGCGGUGGAGCAUGUGGUUUAAUUCGAAGCAACGCGAAGAACCUUACCAGGUCUUGACAUCCUCUGACACUCCUAGAGAUAGGACUUUCCCCUUCGGGGGGACAGAGUGACAGGUGGUGCAUGGUUGUCGUCAGCUCGUGUCGUGAGAUGUUGGGUUAAGUCCCGCAACGAGCGCAACCCUUGAUCUUAGUUGCCAGCAUUUAGUUGGACACUCUAAGGUGACUGCCGGUGGCAAACCGGGAGGAAGGUGGGGAUGACGUCAAAUCAUCAUGCCCCUUAUGACCUGGGCUACACACGUGCUACAAUGGAUGGUACAAAGGGCAGCGAAACCGCGAGGUUAAGCCAAGUCCCAUAAAACCAUUCUCAGUUCGGAUUGCAGG
rnacentral:rRNA from 1 species